UGAACCACACUGAGACUUUGGCACAGACGCGGCGCACACGCAAAUGUACUCCCCUUACGAUGCUGUGUACGGGCAUGACGCGACGUACAUACGCCGGAUGACGGUAGAGGAGUACGUGCAAGAGCUGAAAGAGGAGGAAGCUGACGUCCGCGGAGUAACGCCGCCGCUGUGUGCUGCGGGGCCGGCAAGCGAGAAAACCGCAUCGGCCACCCCCACAUCCUCGGCUCCAGUGCGUCGAACCACUCGUCAGUACGAGCAGCGCCGCAUGGCGCUCUCUUCCUGCAACCCUAAUGUCGUCUUCUUCUCCAAGUAUCCGAUGUACGAUCGGCUGGGACGGGAGCUGUGCGUCGCCUUCCAGAUGCAGGAUAUGGCCGUUCAGCAAGAGCUACGACGCCUGGCGAAAGAAGACGGUCGCGAUUCGCGCCGCUCAGGUGUGCGGCUAAGCGCUGAGCUGCCAAUGGAGUCAGACACGACCGGCGGCAGCCGUCCAAUGUCCGUGCGCGCUUCAGCGGCCACAGCAGAGGGCCACGAGCUCACGCAGACGGAGGAGGUGUCGCGCGUGGUGCGGCCCAGCCACAUAGACGGCGACACCCUCGUCGACAUCGACGUCUCUGCCACCUCGCAUUACCCGUCUGUGUCUGCGAUUUGCACCUCCUCUUGCCCCGCUUCGGCGCGGCCAUCCGACUUUUCUAUCUUUCGCGACAGCAGCGGGGCCGCUGCGGCAAGAAUGAGCCGUGGCGGUCCUACCAAGAGGCACAGCUGCGUCCCGGUGCGGUUUGUAGCGGAGGAAGAAGGUAUCCUCAUACACCGCAGCAACGGCGGAGGCGACUCUCAUCGAGCCGCGUCAAUGCCGCCGGCCGCACUGCCGCGGCUUCCGGACGACGCGGACGGUCGCCGCUCGCAGUGGCGAUGGAGGUCAGAGAAGCGCCACCGCAGUCGCAGCAGCGGCGGCGGCGGUCGCCACAGUCGCGUCCGCUUCAUUAACGACGAUCAAAGCGCCGAAGACAUCCAGCGAGAGGAGCAGCCGCCUCAGCAACGCGUACAUGGCGCCCUGCCGCUCCCGCCGCGCCUGUCCACACCACCACCAAUGCCGCUGUCAGAGGGGGACAACACUAGGGUGGAGGAGACAGCCGUCGAGGACGCGACGCGGUGGACGGCGACUUCACGCGCGUCCGCAGCGGUGCGAGCCACCAAGCAGCUUUUUCGCAGCAUAACACACACACACACCUCGACCGCGUCGCGCGCCACCGCCACCCCCUCGUACAGACAGCCCAUUGCGAGCACCGCAUACGGGCUUUCCGCCACGGCCAUCGCUGCGAGCAAGGUGGGGGCUGCGGUGGAACACAAUGUGCAGGUGUGCGCCGCGGCCAUGCCGCCUCAGCUCUACUCAGAGGAGGUAGCGGCAGAUGUAGAGACGACGCCGGAGUUGCAGUGUGGGUCGGUCGUUCGACUCGGCAGCGCGUGGUAUCGGCUCGUGCACUUUCACCUCGUGGCCGAGGUGUACGUGGCGGUGCGAAUCAGUGCCCCAGCCCAAACGGCAGGGAGCCCCAUCAAGACAGAUCGGUCGCCCGAGACCGGCAUCUCAGUCACCGUCAAGGAGACAAGAGCGGCAGAUUCACAAGCAGCGCCAGAUCAGCAGCCCAGUGGUAAGGAGUUGAUGGUGGAAGCUGUGACGGAUACAGAACCGCAACAAGACCGCAGUGUCGGUGCUGCUGCGCCAGAGUUGCCGAUGCAGCCAAGCGUUGGUGACAGAGGGGACCGCAUUGUGGUGGCAUCGACAGCUGCGCCGGCGGGCCCUGUCGCCGAGGCGGAACGGAACUACGUGCCGUGCACGGAUGAUGCAGAGUCCUGCCCCUUGCCAACAUCGACAGAUAACGCAUGUGUAGGCGAGGCGUCGUCGCAGGAGUAUUUUGUGUACCGGUGGAGAGUGACGAUGCUUCCACGGGGUGGCGACGAGGCCCGUCGGGCAGCACUCGGCCUUUCCUUGUGUGCUCCGGCGGUGCACGUGCACGGCAUCCGCUACGCUGAUGGAGGCGGUAUCACAGUGCUCUCGAUGCCGCUCGGCUACCGAGCGGUCCCUAUGAGUGGACUGCCCUUGUCACUUCGAAGCUACACCACCCUCAUGCGCGUGGUGCUGAAGGCCUUCUCGACGAUGGUGGCGCGCCGCACAGUGCACGGGAACCUGUCAGCUCUGGGGGAGCUGUUUCUCGCCUGGCCAAUCGUGCCUGAGCAAUCGUCUUCGCUGCCAAGGGUGGAGGAGAAGAAGCAGCGGGUCGAGGAGGGCCACGCCAACGUUGGUGCUCAAGGCGCCACAUGGCAGCCGUUCAUCAUGCUCUUUCACUGGGAGCGCUGGGUGGACUUCAGCAUGUUUGUGGACCGCAACGCCGGUCGCACGAUCCCGUUUGACUUCGAAGACGGCACGGCGCCGUCCGUCAUCACCUAUGGAAAAGACCUGCUGGGGAGUCUGCAGCUUUUUCUGGAGCACCCUCUCGCCGCGGAGCUCACAUCGGAGCAGUACAUACUUCUACAGAAGCUCAUCGUGAUUGCCUCAGAGCCCACACAAGUGGCAAACUACCUCAUCCAGAUGAAGAACCUGAUGCUGUCCCUUCCGACGGACACAGAGGCGCUGCAUCAGAGCUUCGAUGCGGCAGUUAUGCGCCAUGCUCGCUGAAGGGGCGGCGCGCUAUUUUCUCCCUCCUCUUUUUUUAUGUUUGCUGUGCAGGAAAAGGAGGGGCACAAGGGGGAGAAGCGUGGUGGUGGCAACGAUACGCCGAGAUGUGAUCCGUCGCCAUCCUCGCUUCGGUUUGUAGCCACAGGUCGCAUGGAACAAACAAAAACGCCGAUAACAGAAGAGCUGUCUGCAGAUGCGACGCUCGGACGACGCCCACCCACCCCCACCCCUUCGGCGCCGCUUUGCUGCCCUUUUUCUUUUUGUUUCCCUCGGUGUGUGUGUGUGUGUGUGUGGCGCCUGCUACUCGCCGGCAACGGCAGGGAGACAGAGAGAGCGCCAUGGCGAGAAUGAAGUGUAGAAGGUCUUACCGCUCCACUACCCCCUCCCACCCCCACACACACCUCAUCCUCCCCUUUAGACGGCAGACUUAGAUAGGACAAGUCACUGUUUGUGAUAGAUUUGAUUCAACCUUAGAUUGACGCUGUGUCUUCUGUUCACGUUUUUUUUUUUGCUCGGUGUGUGUGUGUGCAUGCGCUCGCCCGUUUUACAGAAGAGUCAUGCGCAAGUAUAUGCAUACCGUGGAAGAAGACGAAGGGGAAAAUACAAUGAAACGAAAGGGGAGGGGCACUGGCUCACCCCAAGGCCACGUUCAGCCGGCCCAGUAGUUUUUUUGUCGAACACGUGGUAUUUCAUUGACAGCACACCCUCCACAUCACUCCCUCUCCCACAACUCCUCCACCUCCUACCUCGCUCUCUCUCUCUGCUACGCCACUGUCAAUGUGUAUGCCUGUGUAG
rnacentral:misc_RNA from 1 species